rnacentral:rRNA from 1 species
CAAGACCGUGAGGUGGAGCGAACCCCUAAAAAGCCGUCCCAGUUCAGAUCGCAGUCUGCAACUCGACUGCGUGAAGUCGGAAUCGCUAGUAAUCGCGGAUCAGCAUGCCGCGGUGAAUACGUUCCCGGGCCUUGUACACACCGCCCGUCACACCAUGAGAGUCGGGAACACCCGAAGCCCGUAGCCUAACAGCAAUGAGGGCGCGGUCGAAGGUGGGUUCGAUAAUUGGGGUGAAGUCGUAACAAGGUAUC